rnacentral:rRNA from 1 species
UUCUAAGGCCAUGCCAUCCUGAACAAGCUAUAAGUCUGAUCUAAGAAGCUAAGCAGGGUCGGGCCUGGUUAGUACUUGGAUGGGAGACUACUUAGGAAGAUCAGGUGCUGUAGGCA